rfam:Harpegnathos saltator strain R22 G/1 HarSal_1.0_3.contig2395, whole genome shotgun sequence.
AAGAUCAUGCUUCGGAGGAAUUUCAUUUCUGAAGGAGCAGUUUUGCUACCUCUUGCCUAACACGGAAGUAGAUUUAACCACGAUGAGAGGAGCAAAAGCUUCUUUCCCUGAGCGUGAGGACGACUGAGCUCUUGGACUCGUUCCAGGGACCUGUCAUCGAUGAUCGUCCGCGCACUCCUUUGUAAGUUCCUUCCUUAGUGCAAGGGGCGAGGGGAGAGCAGCUUUCUGAGUGGC